CGCUGGCGGCGCGCCUAACACAUGCAAGUCGAACGAGAGAUGAAGAGCUUGCUCUUCAAAUCGAGUGGCGAACGGGUGAGUAACGCGUGAGGAACCUGCCUCAAAGAGGGGGGACAACAGUUGGAAACGACUGCUAAUACCGCAUAAGCCCACGGCUCGGCAUCGAGCAGAGGGAAAAGGAGCGAUCCGCUUUGAGAUGGCCUCGCGUCCGAUUAGCUAGUUGGUGAGGUAACGGCCCACCAAGGCGACGAUCAGUAGCCGGCCUGAGAGGGUGAACGGCCACAUUGGGACUGAGACACGGCCCAAACUCCUACGGGAGGCAGCAGUGGGGAAUAUUGCAUAAUGGGGGAAACCCUGAUGCAGCGACGCCGCGUGAGUGAUGAAGUAUUUCGGUAUGUAAAACUCUAUCAGCAGGGAAGAUAAUGACGGUACCUGACUAAGAAGCACCGGCUAAAUACGUG
rnacentral:rRNA from 1 species